AUGCACGCUGGCGGCGUGCCUCAUCCCUGCAAGUCGAGCGAACAGACGAGGAGCUUGCUCCUCUGACGUUAGCGGCGGACGGGUGAGUAACACGUGGAUAACCUACCUAUAAGACUGGGAUAACUUCGGGAAACCGGAGCUAAUACCGGAUAAUAUAUUGAACCGCAUGGUUCAAUAGUGAAAGACGGUUUUGCUGUCACUUAUAGAUGGAUCCGCGCCGCAUUAGCUAGUUGGUAAGGUAACGGCUUACCAAGGCAACGAUGCGUAGCCGACCUGAGAGGGUGAUCGGCCACACUGGAACUGAGACACGGUCCAGACUCCUACGGGAGGCAGCAGUAGGGAAUCUUCCGCAAUGGGCGAAAGCCUGACGGAGCAACGCCGCGUGAGUGAUGAAGGUCUUCGGAUCGUAAAACUCUGUUAUUAGGGAAGAACAAAUGUGUAAGUAACUAUGCACGUCUUGACGGUACCUAAUCAGAAAGCCACGGCUAACUACGU
rnacentral:rRNA from 1 species